rnacentral:lncRNA from 1 species
GUGCCGCAGCAGCUCGUCGCGGCGGUUCACCAGUGCCACCAGUUCCUCCAGUAACAGCUCCUCCCGCUGCCGCUGCGCCGCCGACUUCUCCCACUCUGCGGGGGGAGGGAACCCCAAAAUUUGAGGGGGGGUCCCCAGAAUUUGAGGGGGGGUCGCUAAAUUUGAAAGGGGGGCCCUAAACAUGAUGGACUGGGCACAUUGGGGUACACAAGGGGAAGAGGUUUACCCCAAGGGAAUGGAAAGGGGGGAAAGGUUUGGGGGGGUCCCCAAGAUUAGGAGGGGUCCUCAAAGGAGAGGGACCGCAAAAUUUGAGGGGGGGUCCCCAGAAUUUGAGGGGGGGUCGCUAAAUUUGAAGGGGGGGCCCUAAACGUGAUGGACUGGGCACAUUGGGGUACCCAAGGGGAAGAGGUUUACCCCAAGGGAAUGGAAAAGGGGGAAAGCUUUUUGGGGGGGGUCUUCACAAUUGGGGGGGGUCCCAAACUGGGAGGGGAUUCCAGAAUUUGGGGUGGGGGGCGCCCAAAUUUGAGGGGGGUCCCCAAAAUUUGAGGGGUGGGUUGUCAACAUGAUGGGAUACCCGAAGGGAAAAGGUUCCCCCAAAGGGAGCGGAAAGGGGGGAAAAAAUUGGGGGUGGGGGUCCCCAAAACUGGGAGGGGUUCCCAAAAUGGAGGAGGGUCUCUCUAUUGGGGGGGGUCCCUCUAUUGGCGCGGGUCUUUAUUGGGGGGGGUCUCUAUUGGGGGGGGGUCCCGGCCGCACCCUCCGUGCUCAGCAUCGCCCGCAGCUCCCGGCUCAGCAGCUCAAAGCGCCGCUCCACGUCCUGCUCCUCCUCCCUGGGACAGACGGGGGGACGUCAGGGGGACAGGAGGACACUGGGACAGGGGGACAUGGGGACAUGGGAAUAUGGGGACAGGGGGACACUGGGACAGGGGGACAUGGGGACAUGGAGACAGGGGAGCAGGGGGAUAUGGGGACAGGGGGACAGGGAGACAUGAGGAUAUGGGGACAAGGGGACAAUGGGACAGGAGGACACAUCACACACAGUGACACAACCAUCCACCACACGCACGGUGACACAACCACCACACAACCAUCACACGGUGACACAACCAUCUAUCACACACAUGGUGACACAACCACACACACGGUGACACAACCACCACACAAUCACACACGGUGACAC